rnacentral:rRNA from 1 species
GACGAACGCUGGCGGCGUGCUUAACACAUGCAAGUCGAACGGAAAGGCCCUGCUUUUGUGGGGUGCUCGAGUGGCGAACGGGUGAGUAACACGUGAGUAACCUGCCCUUGACUUUGGGAUAACUUCAGGAAACUGGGGCUAAUACCGGAUAGGAGCUCCUGCUGCAUGGUGGGGGUUGGAAAGUUUCGGCGGUUGGGGAUGGACUCGCGGCGUAUCAGCUUGUUGGUGGGGUAGUGGCUUACCAAGGCUUUGACGGGUAGCCGGCCUGAGAGGGUGACCGGCCACAUUGGGACUGGGCUACGGCCCAGCCUCCUACGGGAGGCAGCAGUGGGGAAUAUUGCACAAUGGGCGGAAGCCUGAUGCAGCCACGCCGCGUGCGGGAUGACGGCCUUCGGGUUGUAAACCGCUUUCGCCUGUGACGAAGCGUGAGUGACGGUAAUGGGUAAAGAAGCACCGGCUAACUACGUG